CAGCACCAUUUCAAGCGGCCUUCAACGACUAUAUCAACCGAAUCCAAAUUCGCGAGUUGAUAUGUUGUUUUGAAUGUCACUUGAGGUUUUUGCUU
rnacentral:pre_miRNA from 18 species